rnacentral:rRNA from 1 species
AUUGAACGCUGGCGGCAGGCCUAACACAUGCAAGUCGAACGAGUGGCGGACGGGUGAGUAAUGUCUGGGAAACUGCCCGAUGGAGGGGGAUAACUACUGGAAAAGGUAGCUAAUACCGCAUACCAUCGGAUGUGCACAGAUGGGAUUAGCGAGUAGGUGGGGUAACGGCUCACGUAGGCGACGAUCCCUAGCUGGUCUGAGAGGAUGACGAGCCACGAUGGAACGGAGACACGGUCCAGGCGCCUACGGGAGGCAGCAGAGGGGAAUAGUGGACAAUGGGGGCAAGCCUGAUGCGGCCAUGCCGCGUGUAUGAAGAAGGCAUGCGGGUUGUAAAGUACUUUCAGCGAGGAGGCGUUACUCGCAGAAGAAGCACCGGCUAACUCCGUGCCAGCAGCCGCGGUAAUAC